GUCGUCAUUGGAGACAACUGUCGGAAUUGCCUUGUUAAAAAAUUAGGCUUGUUAAUAUUUCCCUCUCUUCUCUUUCUUUUUCCCUCUCUUCAUAUUUCCUCUUAAUAUAACCUGUCCUCUAAUAUUAAUCUCUCUCUCUCGACCAGCCCUUUCUCUGCGACUCACUCUCUCACCGAUCCGCCCUCCAAACGACUCCGACGCCGACGCCGACGCCUUUCUGAUGAAACGAUUCUCCCACUUCGCCUCUCGCCUCUCACUUUUCCUCGACCUUGUCCCUGUAUAUCUUCCUCAAUCUCUUGAAGACGCUGCGUCUUCAAUUUUUUUACUUUGUAUUUUGGGUUUCAGCAUCUUCAAUUUUUUUAAGGGCUGAUUAUCUUAAGGGUUGAUUGGUAGUGUAUAGUCACUCACAAAGUCUUUUUCUCUCUCUCACUCUCAUGGAUUCAGGUGCCUCUUAUUCCCCAUUCUCUUUGAGUAUAAUAUAGGUAUAGUUUUGUAUAUAGAAUAAAUAGAAUGUACGUUUUUACAUUUUACAUGUAAGAAUUGUUGUACUUUGUUCAUUUGGUCUAUUGAAAUCAUAUAUAAUCAUUUUCAAACUCUACAGUGAAUCAAUAAUGAUUUGUUAUGUGAAAUUAUGAAAUUGAAUAUGCUUUUGAAGAGCAGAAGUUCCAAAACAGACCAGUAAGUAUUGUAAUUAUGGUGUGUUAUUUUGACAUUUUGGGUUAUCUUUGCUGAAUCACUUCUUUUUUAGAAUAAUUUAGGUGAUGGCUAAAGUUAAUUUAUUUAUCUUGUUUAAAUUAUAAUUUAAUGGCUAGCUUGAGAAAAAUAAUUAUAUAAUGUAGAGAAUAUAUUUUGUGUAUAUUUUGUACCUAGUUGUUAUUUAAUUCUUGACUAUUCUCAAUUACAAACAACCCCUUAGAAUUCUUAUGUGGAUAUCUUGAUUGUGUACAUGCAGUCAGUAAGUGAUCUUCACAAUAAACAUAUGGAUAUGAUACGAACAUAUAUGGAAUCCUCACAGUCCGAAACAAAUACAAUCAAUCUGAAAGAUAUCAGACAAGGGAUUGGUAACCCAGUUGGCGCUAACCACCUUCCCUUAGUUCAGAGCAGUUGAUUUCACAACCAACUGGUUCGCAAAUGUUGCAGCAAAUGACACGAAACUAAUCAAUAUACCUCGUUAGAUCAUACUUUUUUUAGUCUUCUUGCUGAUUGAACACAAGGCCUGUACCUCGCGGUAAGUAUCAUCUUUAUGAGGUAGUCGAGUAGUUAACAAAUGCAUGCCGUCUUUAAAUAUGAACAAGGCUGCAGUAACGUUGUACCCAAAAUAAAAUAUUUUUCAUUUUGUUCCAGUCUCUAGUAGCACUCGGCUGUUAUGUGGUCUUGGUUCAGGUUACUUUUAUGGGCUCUGGAAGUUCCUUGUGAUUGUUUAGCAUACUUCAUUUUUUAACAACUGGAAAUUUGGUUGACAAAAAAGGACCUUAUUCUAACCUCUUUACCUGGGCACUGGUUUGAAACUAGUUUCAUCGAGCAAUGAAAAAAUGUAUGACAUUGUCUCUGAAACAUUGUUCAUUUCAUGUUCAUAUUAAGGUGGUUAGACACACAAUGGUGGCAUAUGUAAUUGAAUAUGAAAUUGAAUAUGCUUUUGAUGUUUCGUUGGAAACCAUGUUUAGGGUUCAAUCUGUGGUAAUAUGAUAUUAUUGUUGUAGUUGGCAUAUGUAAUGUUUGAUAAAAUUACUGUGUGAAUAAUUGGUAUGUAAUUUGAAUAAUUGCUUGAUAGUUUGGUUGUGAUACAUGGACGAAGGCACUUGGUAAAGAUUAUCAAACUCAUUUAUCUACUUUAUAGUUAUCAAGAUGAUUUAUAAUUACAUAUUGAUAUGCUUUAUGGAUCAUUAGAGAGUUGUGUUAUGUACUGUUGAUGCUCAUUUUUUAUUUGUCUGACUAAUAUCCCAUGUUUGUGAAUUAAUCAAUUUAUCUCAGUUGCUGAUUUUGAUCACAACUUUCCAUGUUUCUCACUACUGGAAGCAUGUUCUAUUUUGGAUAUACAAUGUCUUUUCUAUAAUUGUUAUUGCAAUAUCAUUUUUUCUUUCAAUAAUACAUGUUUUGGUUGAUUUUAGAUGCUUAAGUUAUCUGAUGGAUUUGUUUAGAAUUGCUUACACUCAAUUAUAUUUAGCAAUGCAACUUUUCUUUAAGUUUACUACCAUCUUGAAGGAUCUCAGUUGUUUUGUAACAUUGUUUUUGGCUUUAUGUUUAGAAUUUCUUAGACUCAAUUGUUGAAUAUUUCCAUUUUCUUUGUAAAAUCAAUCAAGCUUUGUAAAUUUCCAUCUUAUUGCUCCACUGGGUUGGAUUCCUGAAUAUUUUGCAAGUGAGAUCUUCUAUGAUAAGAAAAGUUGUAAAAGUGCAUAUAUGUAUAUGUGGAAGAGAUUGCUUACUUGAAUUUUAGCAGAACCAUCAUCAUCAGCAUAAUUCCCAUUACUUUCUUUCAUCAUCAGCAUAAUUUCCCAUUACUUGAAGAGAUUGCUUCACAUUGCUGUAAAUGCAUCUCAAUCAAUGUUGAUUAAUCUUCGUGAGUAAUAAUUUCUGUGCUUGCAAUAUGUGACUGAGAGAGUUGGUCUCUUUGGCUACUUCAUGUAAACUAUACACCUAUUGCUUUAGAACAAUUACGAGGAACAUUACAUUGGCUCUUAAAUUUCAACUUGCAUGAAUGGUGCAAUUAUUUGGCAUUCCAAAUAAAAAAAAAAAGACCAGUAAAUCAAUAUAUGUGAGAAUAUUUCCAAGUAAUUAUUCUGCGAACCUUCUUUUACUCUAUAAGCUACCAAGCUAAGUAAGAUGAUAUAUUUAUAUAAUAGCAACAAAACAAUAAUAAUGGUAAUAAUAUAUACAUAUAUAAUAAAGCUAUGCUUGGUUUUGCUUCCUUGACAAUGAAGACGAAAAACUAUAGAUAGAGGAGAGGAGGACAAAAUUAAGCAGAAAGAAACGCAAGAAGCAAUGCUAUCAAAACUUGUUCACUUCUCCUAGCACAUUUUGUCCAUGUCUCCCCCAUCUUAGUUGAUAUGGUUUAAGUGCAUGGCUCUUUGGGAUAAAACUCUUGAGCUCAGAUUUUUGCUUCUGAAAACAAUCUAAAGUUCAAAUAGAUCAUCUCAGUGAGGAGAUGGCACAGCGAGGGAAACUUGACAUCCGCUUGAUGUUCCAGGAAGGGAGAUUUAGCAAGGGUCCCCUAGAUUAGAAACUUUGGCCUACGGCAAAGAAAACGCCUCCCUUGGCCGCGACCGCUUCCAAAUCCCCAGCCAAGGGGAAAGAUUCGGGCUUGAGAGCUCUGCUCCCUUCGGCCCCGGAGAAGAGGGGUCCGGCAACACUCCAUCCUCGCUUUCCCCCAGCUCCUGCUCGGGACCAGGCAGCAUCGGUAGUCCCUACCGCCACUAUUCACAUCCCCGUCAACACCCAGGAUCUGGAGCUAAUUCCAUACACUUUUCGGGGUGCCGUCUAUGAGACGGCGAACUACGCGGUGGAACACUUUUAUAAGGCCAAGCCCAACGACCUGAGGGCGAUUGAGGAGAGGAGCCCGGAGAACGUCAUGGAAUCUGCCUUGGGGAUGAACUUUGCAGCAGUCCUGGCUCAACAUCGCAGCAUAUCUCGGGCCAGGGCUAGGAAUUAUGAACUCAAGGCCGAGCUCCAAAUUGCUCAGGCCGCCCUGACUACGGCCCAAACUGCUCUCGCUGCCUCUCAACAAAGUGAACAAGGUGCCAAGGCUACCUUGGCGGCGGCCCAAGCAGGUGAACAGACGGCAAAGGCUGCCUUAACCAUGGCACAAGAGGGCGAGCAGGUAGCAUAGGCUACCUCGGCAGCCCUUCAGGCCAAGCUCGAGGGGGCCAAGGCCAAACAGUUGGAGGUCGAGGCGGCUAUUCAGGAGGAGAAGAAGGGAUCGACAUCCUCCAUGGAGAGCAUGCUGUACCACUGUUGGGCCUUUAAUCAGGAGGGCAACUUCUCCUUCAUGGCCUCCAAAGUGUGGGGGCACUACCUCGAGAAGUUCAACGCUUGGCUAAAACAAGAGCUGCAGUCUGAGACCAGGGAGGCCUCUAUUGCUGGCGAGUAGGAGAUCGAGGAGGUGACGUCCUCGGAGCAGCCUGGAGGGUCUUAGUUUUUAUUUGCCCUUUUUUUAUGUUGUAUAUUUUUCUUUUGUAAAUGUUAAUCACGAGGUUAUUCUCCUCCAGACAAUUUAUAUAUAUUAUUUUCAGUUUAUCUAAGUUUUAUUUAUUCCUUGAUCUCUUUCUCAUGCCUUAUGAUGUGCACGUUUAAAGCCUUAGGAAAUGACCCUUAGAUCGAGAUCGAUAUUCCUGGUCGUAACCAAAAAGACGAUUUAUAUCUUACCUGUUAAGUAUCAGGCCCUGGACCCGGUUGUAUCCGGGUUUUUUUUUUUAAAUAAAGCCCUAUUUCGUGUUAGUUUUAUCGAUGCUUCGCUUUUUCUUUAGAAAAAACAUUGUUAAUCAAUUUAACCAACUUCUAAGUUUCGGAACUUGGUUGUGCCGAGGAUAUUUAAUUAAAAACUUAGUUCGCAUUAGUUUUAUUGACACAUCGCAUUUUUUAGAAAAACACUGGUUAAUCAAUUUAACCAACUUCUAAGUUUCGGAACCUGGUCGUGCCUAGGAUAUUUAAUUAAAAACUUACUUCGCAUUAGUUUUAUUGACACAUCGCAUUUUUUAGAAAAACACUGGUUAAUCAAUUUAAGCAACUUCUAAGUUUCGGAACUUGGUCGUGUCCAUGAUAUUUAAUUAAAAACUUAGUUCGCGUUAGUUUUAUUGUCACCUUGCAUUUUUUUUAGAAAAACACUGGUUAAUCAAUUAACCAACUUCUAAGUUUCGGAACCUGGUCGUGUCUAGGAUAUUUAAUUAAAAACUCAGUUCACGUUAGUUUUAUUGACACCUCGCGUUUUUUAGAAAAACACUGGCUAAUCAAUUUAACCAACUUCUAAGUUUCGAAACCUGGUCGUGUCCAGGAUAUUUAAUUAAAAACUUAGUUCGCAUUAGUUUUAUUGACACCUCGCAUUUUUUAGAAAAACAUUGGUUAAUCAAUUUAACCAACUUCUAAGUUUCGGGACCUGGUCCUCAGGUUGUCUACCCCCAAGUAAUCAGGAAGUGGACUUUCUGGGUUACUUUGAACUAACAUGCAGAUGAAAUCGUACAAAGACACAAAUAUACCAUAAACGUUUUUUUUUUAUAUAUUUCUAUAAUUAAAUGGCUUUUAUAUUCGAGCCUUACAUAGACAGGUGGCUUGAUCACUGAUAAUACUUUUUCAAAUGCAUAGCAUUCCAGGUCUGUGGUACCGUUUCUCCACUAAGUCGGGCCAAUUUAAAAGUACCUUCAUGUAUGAUUUCCACGAUCUGAUAGGGCCCUUCCUAGCUCGAGCCUAAGGCACCAUCUUGGGGGUCCUUGCCUGCUAAAAGUUGUAAUGCCCUGGAUAGCCAAGAUCGUUACACUGUGUACUUAUAAAGCUACAGGACUUGCUAACCAAGUCAUUAAUUUGAAAACGUGUCACUAAACAUGUAAAAGCUAAGGUUAAAAAGGUUUUGGUCUCAAAAGACUCACUUCAUAUAUUUAAACUGUAGUAAACAUGGGAUCCCAUAUGAAAACAAAGUUAGAACAAGUUUACAGACUCCUGAAAAUACAUGAAUAUCCUCUAGCCAUACUAAGGCAAAACAGACAGUCCUUAGGUUCCAUGUCCUUGCUUAGAUCUCAACCGUGGCGGUCGAGCACCUGGCUAUGCACAUUCUGCUCGCUGAGCUCUCCAAUCAGGGCUGAUCUAAUUUUCCCUUGCCUUUACCUGCACCACGUAGCACCCGUGAGCCAAGGCCCAGCAAGAAAACAUCAUAAACAACUUAAACAAUAAUAACAGACAAAUAGUUCAAUAUGCAUGUAUUCCCAUCAGAUAAUCCUCAACAGGUAUUCAGCAUAUACAAUCCAAUUCAAGAUACAUUCUACCACAUAUAAUACUCAUAUCACAUAAUAUUCAGGGCUGACGACUUAGGCCGCACCCUCUGUUUAACCCACUGACUCCGGCCCGCUUAAACCGAGCUCAGUGCAUAAUAAGUUGUCCUCAGCUACCAGUGGUCGAGCCGCGCCCUGUGCGCUAGUGUAACCCUUGGAAACCUUAGGCCAUUGUUUCACCAAAUGGCUUGCAUGGAAUAAUACCAUCUUUUCAAGCAUUUACAAUAGGGAGCCCUUAGUCCUGUCACAUAUAUUCAACCAGGUGCAGUUUUCUUACCUUUAGUCUACGCAGUUAUUGAAUUACGAGCAACACCUCUCAAGCACGAUCCGUUCCCGAGCCUAAGUCUUUAUCACCUAGUCACAACCAAAGUAUAGGGUUCCAUUAAUACUCCAAUAUAGGUUUACUCCCGAGAUUCCAAAUUCCACCAAGCACGGUGGUGAAACCAAACCCGAGCACACUAGACCACCUUCCCGUGCCUAAAACCCUCAAAAACUUAUGUGUGCAACCGAGGGCUGCGGCCCCUGAAGCCUAGCCGUGGCCCUUCCCCAAAAUAGAGCCAACACCCACGCUGAACCACACACGCACCGCGACCCUUGCCUUGGGCGCCGCAGCGCUCUCCCUUGGCCGAGCCUUCUUGGCUCUUUUGCAUGCUAGGGCCGCAGUGCUCUAGAACAGAGCCGCGACCCUCCCCUUCGAACCCAGAAUUUACACCAUUUCUAAGUCUGAAACCUCACCUAAAACCACCCCAAAGUUCCCCAACUCCUAACCAAUUAAUCCCAACUCGUUUAGCAUGAUCUAAACAACAUAAUUCCACAGAAAACACAGCCUACCACACACUAAUCUUCUCUUUUCAAUUUCUGAAACUUCAAGAGUUAAAACUACUUAAACCAGCCAUUCAAACCCAAUUUAAGACCUCUAAACCAUGAGUUGAAGUUUACCUUUGCUGUUGAAUCACUUCACCAAGCCAUAGCCAAGCUAAGUUCCCAAAUUUCCUUCUUAAUUCUGCCUUAGAACAUCAAAACCAUAUUUGUUUCAACACUUCACCUAAACCCAGCUACAACUCAGAAUUCAGCCACAUAAAAGAAGAUCAGAUGCUUACCUUAAUCCCUAUUUUAGUUCUUGAUUUACUCUUGAGCUAAAUCUCCUAGUCCCCACCACCAAUCUUAGAAAUUCCAGCUUGUUCCCCUGUUUUCUGUGUUUUCUUUCCUUUGUUUUCCCUUGAGCGUGAGAGAGAGCUGAGACAAGGGUGUUUAGUCGGUUUGUGUUUUUCUUCUAAAAGCUUCCUUAUGUCUAACUUACCUGUUAAGUUAAUCCCGAGGCUCGGGGUGCCGAAAACAUCCCCGAGGCCAAAAUGGUAAAAUCCCCCAAUAUUCCCGCCUAGACAUCCUAACCUCAAAAAUAUCUCUAUAUAUUUAUUUCCAUGACUCGAUAAUGCAAAUCGCUACCCGCUAUCUAAAAAGUACCCCCGACUUAUCCAAAGUCAUAUCUUAAGCCCCGUUGUGACUUUUCCCGCUAUCUGACCCUAGAAUCGUCUUGAGUUGUGCUCAGCGAACCUGUCCACAUAAUAAUGUGGUUCUCACAUAUAUCACAUAUUUAUUUCAUAUCACAUUACCACAUAAUACCAUCAAUUAUCAUAUAAACUUUAAUAAACAUAUAAUUACUCAUUUAAUCACAAUUAUUCCAUUAAUGCCCUCCUGGCACACUAAUCAAGGCCCUUAAACCUUAUUAGUGAUUUUGGGUCGUUACAAAAAUACCCUUUGGACUACCAACAAAAGACAUGCUUUUUGACAUUUGAAUUAAAAUAACGUGUGAUUUUUGCUGAUAAUGUGGGAGCUGUAGCUAUGAAUCUUCUCAUUUUUCAUCAAUUAGGUCAAGGGAUGCACUGAGUAGUUCUUCGUUCCACUUUGGGCUAAAGGUCUGGAGCCUAUGUGUGGCUACCUUUGUUUCGACAGGGAGGACGGCCUCACUUCCGAAAGUUAAGGAGAAAGGGGUAUGCCCUGUGGAAGUUCAGUGGGAGGUCCGGUAAGCCCACUGCAUCUGCGGGAGCUUGUCGGGCCAUCCUCCCUUGGCCUCGUCCAAUCUCCUCUUAAGGUUUGCUUUGAGGGUUUUAUUUACAGCCUCGACCUGCCCAUUGGCCUGCGGGUAGGCCACCGAGGAGAAUCUUUUGAUUACGCGUGCCUUUCACAAAACUCAGUGAAGAGAUUGCUAUCGAACUGUGUCCCAUUGUCUGACACAAUCUUUCUUGGCAAUUUAAAUCGGUAAACAAUGUUCUUGACCAUGAAGUCGAUGACUCUUUUUGCAGUGAUUAUAGCCAGGGGCUCCACCUCUGCCCAUUUUGUAAAAUAAUCGAUGGCCACUACUGCAUAGCGAACUCCUCCCUUCCCCAUGGGCAGGGCUCCAAUUAAAUCGAUUCCCCAUACCGCGAAUGGCUAGGGGGAUGAUAUCAAUUUUAGCUCGACUGGAGGAGCUCGGGCGAUGGUGGCAAACUGCUGGCACUUAUCACACUUUUGGACAUAGAAGAUGGAGUCUUUUGGUAACGUGGGCCAAAGAUACCACUGCCGUAAUGUUUUCAAGGCCAGGUUUUGCCCCCUGCAUGAUCCCCACAAAAGCGUUCAUGUACCUCAUGCAAAAUAGUUUUGGCUUCCUCUAGCAAAACACACCGUAGUAGAGAUAAGGAGUGGCCACGUCGGUACAGCGUCCCGUCUAUGAUUGUGUACCUUGGAGCUUGAUAGAGUACUCUCCUCGCGUCUUUCCGCUCGCCAGGCAAUUUUCCUGUCGUAAGAUACUCUAUUAUGGGAGUCAUCCAGGUCGGUCUGAUAUUGAUCAUCUCAAUCUCCAUCGUGCUUUCUGCCAUGCUUGGACUUUCUAAGUAUUCCACUGAUACUAUGCUCAGAGUCUCGGCUUCUUUGGAGGUAGUGAGUCUAGCCAGAGCGUCGACAUUGGCGUUCUGCUCGCGAUGGAUCUGCUUGACUAGGCUAUACUCAAACUCUGAUAGCUCCUUCUUGACCUUGGUCAGGUAAGUUGCCAUUUGGGUACCUCGGGCUUGAUAUUCCCCAGACACUUGGUUUACCGUGAGCUGGGAAUCGCUGUAGAAGUGGACGGCCCUGGCCUUCAGCUCCUUCGCCACUCUAAGCCCGGCCAAUAGGGCUUCGUAUUCAGCUUCAUUGUUGGAUGCCACGAACUAGAACCGCAGCGCGGAGUGGAAACGAUGUCUUCUGGGGAUAUUAGGAUUAUCCUAGCUCCAGACACGUUCUCAUUAGAUGACCCAUCUAUGAAGAUUCUCCAUAAUUCCCGCACUGGUUCUCUCAAGGGCUCUUUCUGGAAUCUAUUGCAUUCAGCCAUGAAAUUAUCCAAGGCUUGGCUUUUUAUCAUAGUUCAGGGUAUAUACAGUAUCUUGAACUGGCUAAGCUCGACCGCCCAUUUCAACAAACGUCCCGAUGUCUCAGGUUUCUGUAGCACCUGCCUUAAAGGCUGAUCGGUCAUGACGUGGAUUGAAUGGGAUUGGAAAUAUGGCCUAAGCUUCCGGGAAGCCAUAAUAAGGCAGAACGCCAUCUUUUCCAUUAGAGGAUAUCGAGAUUCUACUCCAAGAAGUCUCUUGCUUAUAUAAUAUACUACCUUUUGAACUCGGUUCACCUCCCGGACCAACACGGCACUGGCCGCAUUUUCAGUCACGGCUAAAUAGAGGAAAAGGUGCUCAACUGUCGUUGGUUUAGAUAACACUGGUUGCUCGGCCAAAUGUGUCUUCAGGUUGAUGAAAGCCUGCUCGCACUCCUUAGUCCACUCGAACUUUUUGUUCCCCCGAAGCAGGUUGUAGAAUGGCAAACACUUAUCGGUGGAUUUAGAAAUAAACCGAUUGAGGGCCGCCACCCUUCCUGUAAGACUCUGGACAUCUUUAUGCGACCUGGGCGAAGGCAUCUCUAGCAGCGAUCCCACUGGUGUUGACUAUGAAUCCUAGGAAUUUUCAUGACGCCACUCCGAAAGUACAUUUCUGGGGGUUUAGCCUCAUAUUAUACUUCCUUAGAAUUCCAAAACAUUUCGUCAGAUCGGAGACAUGGUUAUCGGCAGUCUUUGACUUGACUAGCAUAUCAUCAACAUAUACUUUAAUGUUUUUUCUGAUCUAACCAGCGAACAUUCUGUUGACCAACCUCUGGUAGGUCGCCCCAGCAUUUUUCAGCCCGAAGGGCAUGACUUUAUAGCAGUACACGGUUGGAUUCAUGAAGCUAGUAUGUUCUUGGUUCGUGGGGUUCAUGGUGAUCUGGUUAUAUCUAGAGUACGCAUCCAUGAAGGACAUGAGCUCAUGCCUUGCAGUGGCAUCCACCAACUGGUCAAUCCUCGGCAAAGGGAAGUAAUCCUUGGGACAAGCUUUUUUUAGAUCGGAGAAAUCGAUGCAGGUCUGACAUUUUCCAUUUGGCUUUGGGACCAGGACAGGAUUGGCGACCUAGGUAGGAUAUUUAGCCUCGUGAAUAUAGCCGCACUUCAAAAGCGUAGCUACUUCUUCCUCCAGUGCCUCAGCUUGGGUCGUACCUAGUCGCCUCUGUUUCUGGGAUUUCGCAGGCAUGCUUUUGUCCAAAUUUAGCGUAUGCAUGAUGACACUUGGGCUGAUUCCUAUCAUGUCUUCAUGGGACCAAGCGAAAACAUCUAGAUUUUCUUUUAAAAAAGUUACCAGCUCUGCCUUUCUUUCAGGGUCAAGAUUUUUCCCGAGCUUAGCGACCCUCGAAGCAUCUUUGGGAUCAAUGUUUACUUCUUCGAGGUCUUCAAUAUCCUGGAGCUCGGAUCUGUCUUCACCCAUUCGGGAAUCAAUAUCAUCACUCGGGGUGGCUCCCCUGCAAGUGACUGGCUGAGGUUCUUCCAUCCUAGGAUUAUCUCUGACUUCCUGGGAUUCCUCUCCUCGAUCCUGCACGGCCAUCGUCUGCUGCCCAGGUUGUCCCACUAGCACGACCUGAGUGGCGUCCACCACACUAGCUAAGAACCCCAUGCAUCCCCCCUACAAUAGGUCUCUAGCUCUAAGUACAUAUAUCAUAGGUAUAUGAGGUCCAUGCAUAGUUCCAACGAAUACAAAGGGGUCCUCACCCUCAAGUUCAAAGGUUACCAUCUUCUUCUUACAAUCUAUCGUUGCCCCAUACUUCUCUAGCAAGUCCAUACCCAUAAUUAUAUAAAAAUCAGUCAUAACCAACUCUACCAAGUCAACUGACAACUCCCUGCCAUCCAUUGUCACUAGUAGUGAUCUAACCCAUCUCCUAGAAAUUACUAACUCCCCAGUAGGUAGCAUAGUACCAAACCCCACAGGAUAAAAGUCACAUGGUCUGCAUAGUUAAUCUAUAAUCCUACUAGCAACAAAUGAGUGUGUAGCACCCGAAUCAAUCGAAACAGUAUAGAGGGUCCCACUACUAGAAAGUUGUUCUAUAACAACCAAGGGACUAGCCUCAACCUUUGCCUGGGUCAAGGUGAACACCCAAGCUGACGUCAGGCUGUCCACCUUCUUGGGCUCUUCCUUUCUGGAUUUCGGACAAUCCUUCUUCAAGUGUCCCACACUCUCGAAGACAAAGUAGGCCUUCACUCGACGUUCCCCAAUAUGGCGCCUCCUCCAUCAAGUACACUCUUGGAAUGCCUUUAAGGUCUCAUUGCCACCCUGGCGGCCUAUCUGUAUGCCCCGUUGCCUCCUAUGCUGGCUCUGGAGCUAAAACUGUAUCUGGAGUCUUUCUGUUUUGCUCCCUAGGGCCUCCGCCCAUACCAAAGCCUGCAAAUGGAGGUGCAUGCCUCUUAAAAUCCCUUCUAGUUGUAUUCUCACGCCAGAUCUUAUUCUUAGAUCUCUCAGCUGUAAGUGCCUUCUCCACAUCCUAUGCGUAGGUAGUCACCCCUGGCAUAGUAGUACUAUGAACAUCGUGAACAUCAAGGCAUAAUCUGUCACUGUCAUGUUUCACUGAAGUAACUCAGUGAACUCUUCAACCUUCGCUACUUUAACUGCGUCAUUGUAGUAUUUCUCGUUGAAUAGAGUUCCGAAUUCUUCCCAUUCCAUAGUAUUCGCUGCUCUAGUCUAGGAUACCAUCUCCCACCAUAUUCGGGCAUCCUCCCGAAACAUGUAAGUGGCGCAUGACAUUCUCUCAUUACCACCUACCCUCAUGAAAUCCAUGAUGGUGGUUAUCUUAGUCAUCCAUUGCUUAGCCUUCAAUGGGUCUGAUCUACCCUAAAAAACUGGAGGGUGUUGUUUCCUAAACCUUUCAUACAUGGGUUCCCAUCUAUCUCCCCUACCUAGGGAUAUACUACCGUUUCGCACCUCCGGCUGUGACACUGUUAUUACUGCGGGCUAUAGGUUCCCUGUUGGAACCUGUUGCUGUCUCAAGAGGCGAAUCUCAUAUUCUUGCCUCUGUUACUUGGAUUGCAUAUCAGCAAACACUUGUUGCCAGUUUUUGUGAGCUAGCGGCGUGGCCUGGCCUUGGUCAUUCUCUUCUCUGGCCUGUGUCUCCUAGCCAUCCAACCUCUCUGACCUUCGAGGAAGCAUACUGAUAACUAUUCAACUCUGUAGUGAUCAAAUCGACCGUUAGGUAAGUAAUAACUAUACCUCUUGCCGCCUGACAGUACAAGCCCGAACAAACAAAUAGAUGUAAUGCUAAUAAGCAUUCCAACACAUAAUAUACUCAAUCAUUGUGCUAAUAAGCACUUCCUGAUAUUCAUCAGCAAAUACCAAUGCUAAUAAUCAUUUCUGGCAUUCAUAAGCAAUUAAUGAUGCAAACAACCAUAUUCAAGCAUUUAUACAUGUAUAACAAUGCUAAUCAACAUGUUCUUUAUCAUUCAUGUGACAGUCAAGGGCCAGGUCAUAUAAGAAUAUCUCAUGCUCCCUAAACAGACAUGCAGAUAAGGCAUUUAUAUCCUAUUUAAGUAGUUAAACACAUAAUCACAUAAAUAGUUACCGAACCCUGAGUCGAGUUUGUCUAUAGUGGCGAGUGUACAUGCCCGACCAGUCUUCAGGAACCCUUAAACCUUGGCAUCCUUGAUACGAGAUUGUAACGUCCUCCUAAUCCAUGAUUGUUAACAUGUGUACUUUAAAUAGUGUCGGACUUGCUAAUCAAGUCAUUUUGGUUAUAAAUGUGUAACUAAGGUUAACGUCAAGGGUUAGGGUUAACAAUUUUGGUCAAAAGAAACGUUAACUUUUCAUUUGAAAGUUUUAUGCAUACAUUGGAUUCCAAAACAUUACAAAUAGAUGUUUAAAAGGGUAUAUACAAAUCAAAAGUUACAACCAGCUGGCCUAAGCGGCAAAAUAAGAGAUACAAUCCUAGUUCCUAUGAGAUAUCCUCGGCCGUGGUGGACAAGCAACCGUAUAUGUACACGCCGCCAUCGAAGCUCUCCAACCCAUGGCUGGUCUAGCUUUCCUUUUCCCUUACCUGCACCACAUAGCACCUGUGAGCCAAGGCUCAGCAAGAAACUUAAACAUGUGCAUUGAAAGUAAAUACAUAUUCCAAAUACAUAUCUAGCAUGUCCAGCAUUAAUAACCAACUAAUGCAUGCAUACGAUUACAAAUAAAUGAUGUUUUGAUCAUUCUGGGGCCUGCUACCCUGAAUUGUUGACCAUAGAGUUAACCAGGGGCCUUGUGCCCUAGCUAUGUGACCAUAGAGUCACCUGGGGCCCUUUCCCUUAGCUCUGAGUAACUAGCCAUAGAACUGCCCAAGCACUUUGUUUUCCAAUGACCAUAGGGUCGGCCAACAUAAUAGUACGUUCCUGAAUGGGCCUAAGCCUCUCGACCAGCGCACAACGCGCUAUUGCUGCCCUUGACUAAUAAUAAGUCAAGGCUUUAAUCAAACAUUCAGAUAAAUAGACAAUCAGAUAUAGAUACAGAUAAGCAUACUUCAAACAAUACAAGUAUACAUACAUAUAAAUCAUGGUAUCUUAACUAAUUAAACACAAACACAGUAAUAACAAUGUUCCUUAACGGGGUCGAGCCCUACCUAUGCAUACCAGACAAUCAUUCAUUAAAUAGUUAACCACGUACAAAGCAUUCAAGCAUAUCCUAAUUCACAUUCAUUCUCAAGGGCUGAGCCCUAUUCAUCAUUACAAUCAACAAUGGGGCCAAGCCCUAAUAAUAUAAAUCACAUAUUGGAUGCAGUUUUCUUACCUUAGGUCCGAGUGCAAAGUGUAUUAAGAACGACCCUUAAGUACGAUCCUGGUUUUGAAACCCUAGCGAUAACCUAGAUACAACAAAUAGGGAAUCUCAUCAAAACGAGCGAAUAAAUGAUUCUGUAUUGAGUCCUAGCCUCUGGGACAUCGAAUUCUACUAAACCGGGUAGUAGGAUCGAUCCUGAGCCCUUAGAUUUGAGUUCGCACACUCAAAAACUCUCCCGGGGCUCAAUACCCUUAAGCACCGUAACUCAAAACAAAGGAGCCACUGCUCGCCCCAAGUUAGAGAGCCCAAUCUCUCCCCUGCUUCAACAUGCACUGCGGCACUCCCUAGUAGACAUGGCUGCUCAAAUGGCCCGAAGACACCUCCUUCUCCCAACACUCAAGAGAGUCCUGGCGCCCCAAGAACAGGGUCGCGGCUCGACAUGAUAACCCUAUGUUUUCUCCAUUUACCUCAAGCCCAAUCCCUAAAAAAACCUAUCCUAACAUAGCUAAAACUCAAAAGUAAAGCCCUCAUUCAAUUCAAUAGCUCCCAUCAAAACCCAAGUAAAAUUUUGGCCAAAAUCCCUUCAAAUCCCAAAAUCAGAGCUGAGUUUUCUAAACUCCAAAAAUUCAACUAAAAACCAGUAAACACAGAGAUUUAGGGUUAGAAAUCAUUACCUUUGUUGCCCCAAUCGAUGGUGAGUCUUUCGCCAAGCAAUCCCAAGCGUAAACUAGCCUUGAUUCUCCUUAAACAGUAAGAAUUCCCAAGGAAUUUUAAGAAAUUAUGUGUAAACGAGAGAGAGGGAGAGACAGAGCACACACAUAUAUAUAUAUAUAUACAUAGAGAGAGAGAGAGAGAGACAAGUGUUCAAAUUGUUUCCUCUAUUUUUGUGUUUUGUGUGGGCUACUUAGACUCUAAGUAACCUUAAGCAAAUUGUGAGGCUCGGGGUACCAAAAAUGUCCCCGAGGGCAAAAUGGUAAAAACUCCUUGAAUUUCCUCCUAAUCUCACUAAUACCGAAUAUAUCCUCAAAUAUUCAUUCCUGUUACCCGAUAAUCUGGUAAUGUACUAGAUACCCGAAAUACCAUUUGACUCAUCCCGAGUCGGGUAUUAGGUCCCGUAGUGACUUUCCCGCUAACUUGCUCCCUAGGAUCGUCUCGUGCCGUGUAACUCAAAUAUAUCCACAUAAUAAUGUGGUCUCACACAUAUAUCACAUAUAUGCCAAAUAUACCCAUAACAGGCUAAAUUACAAAAAUUACCCUUCUAAUAAGAAAUGGGCCCACAUGCAUAUUUAACACAUCUAAACAUGCAUAUCUAGUCAUAUUAUCAUAUAACUCACAUAAUCACAUAAUUACAUGCAUAUAUAUCGUAUAAAUAUAUAAUUUCCAUAAAUUUCCAUCCUUGCCCCUAAUCAAGUCCCUAAGCCUUAUUAGGUAAUUUGGGACGUUACAAACACAAUCUUCCUCACCAAGUCUUUGAUCAACCUAGAACUAGUGUGGGCUGGUUCUCAAUACAUGAGAUAGAGAUCUAGAAGAGAAGAAAAUAGAGUGGCUAGGAGAGUGUAGUUCUAAAUUUUUCUAUGAUUGAGCACUAACCCAAACUUGUUCUUUGUCAACUGUCCCUUAUGAAACCCCUAGCUAUAACACUCUAUUUAUAGACAUAUCCAUAUUCUUAAUUAAAUUAAUUAAAAAAUAAAAUGUAAAUAUAGCCAUAUCAUGGCUGGCCCACACCAUAUGGGUUGGGCUCACGAUAAGUGCCUUAAAUUUUAGGCUAAAUGGA